UUUACUUAAAAUAUUAUUAAUUUUUUUUUAUGAAAUUAUUCUUUUUUUAAGUAUUAAAGUAUAAUAAUUUUUUGUUAAUUAUAGUUAAUUAGUAAGGUGACUGAAUUUUGAAAUAUUUUUUAUGUUUAAAAAAGAAAAAUUAAUUUUUUGUACCUUGUGUAUCAGGGUUGAUUAAAUUUAAGUUAAAUAUUUAAUUUUCUCGAAUUGAAAAGAGCUAAUUUAUUAUUUAUUUAGUUGUUUUAUAAACUUUUUUAAUAGUUUUUUAGUAAUGAAAUGUUAUUCGUUUUUCGUUAUAUCUGGUUUUUUAAGAAAAGAAUUGAAUUCUAUUAUUUUUUUUUAAAAGUUAUUUUUUAAUUUUUAGGUUUAAAUAUUAAAUAUUUAAUGGGAUGAGCUUUUAAAUAAAAUUUUAAAAAUUUUUUAUUUUUAAAUUAUUAGUAUAAUUAUAAUUGUUAAUCUUUAUUAUAACUUUAUAGUUAAUUUUUUUUAGUUUUUAUUUUUAUUUAUUUUAGAUUUUAUAUUAAAAUUAAUUUUUUAAUUUUUAUUGAAUUUUAAUAAUGAUUAAAUUAGUAAAUUUGAAUUGUUUAAUUGAUUUUAUUUGUUAGGUUAAAAAAAGGAAUUCGGCAAAAUUGUUUUUCGCCUGUUUAUUAAAAACAUGUCUUUUUGAAUAUAAUUUAAGGUUUAAUCUGCUCAAUGAGGAUUUAAAUUGCCGCGGUAUUUUGACCGUGCAAAGGUAGCAUAAUAAUUAGUUUUUUUAUUGAAAGCUGGAAUGAAUGAUUGGACGAGAAAACUACUGUCUCUUUUUAAUUUAUUUUUUAAUUUAACUUUUAAGUAAAAAGGCUUAAAUUUUUUUUAAAGACGAGAAGACCCUAUAGAGUUUAAUAUUAAUUUAUUUUAAGUUUUUUGGUAUUUUAUAUUCUUAAUUUUUUUUAUUAUUUGGUUGGGGUGACCAGAAGAAUGACUAAACUCUUCUAUUUUUUAAUCAUUGAUUUUUGAAUUUUAAAUCUAAUUUUUUUAAAUUUAAGAAAAAUUACCUUAGGGAUAACAGCGUAAUUUCUUUUUAGAGUUCUUAUUGAAAUUGAAGUUUGCGACCUCGAUGUUGGAUUAAAAUUUAUUUUUGGUGUAGAAGCUGAAAUAUUAAGUCUGUUCGACUUUUAAAAUUUUACAUGAUCUGAGUUUAAACCGGUGUGAGCCAGGUUGGUUUCUAUCUUGACUUAUUUACAAUAUUUUAGUACGAAAGGACCAAUUAUUGAAUAUAUUUAUUUUUAUUUUUGAAUAUUAUU
rnacentral:rRNA from 1 species